GGGCAAUGAAGAGGAAAAACAUUUCUCGAUUCUGAUAAUAAAAUGCUUUGAAUCAAAUUCAAAGCAUUAUUUGAUGACUGAAUUUGUGCGUGUCUGAGCCUC